rnacentral:rRNA from 1 species
UUUCCCGUGAGUGAANAAANNUUUUUGCCCGUAAAGCUCUGUNGNUAGGGAAGAACAAGUGCCGUUCAAAUAUGGCGGCACCUUGACGGUACCUAACCAGAAAAGCCACGGCUAACUACGUGCCAGCAGCCGCGGUAAUACGUAGGUGGCAAGCGUUGUCCGGAAUUAUUGGGCGUAAAGGGCUCGCAGGCGGUUUCUUAAGUCUGAUGUGAAAGCCCCCGGCUCAACCGGGGAGGGUCAUUGGAAACUGGGGAACUUGAGUGCAGAAGAGGAGAGUGGAAUUCCACGUGUAGCGGUGAAAUGCGUAGAGAUGUGGAGGAACACCAGUGGCGAAGGCGACUCUCUGGUCUGUAACUGACGCUGAGGAGCGAAAGCGUGGGGAGCGAACAGGAUUAGAUACCCUGGUAGUCCACGCCGUAAACGAUGAGUGCUAAGUGUUAGGGGGUUUCCGCCCCUUAGUGCUGCAGCUAACGCAUUAAGCACUCCGCCUGGGGAGUACGGUCGCAAGACUGAAACUCAAAGGAAUUGACGGGGGCCCGCACAAGCGGUGGAGCAUGUGGUUUAAUUCGAAGCAACGCGAAGAACCUUACCAGGUCUUGACAUCCUCUGACAAUCCUAGAGAUAGGACGUCCCCUUCGGGGGCAGAGUGACAGGUGGUGCAUGGUUGUCGUCAGCUCGUGUCGUGAGAUGUUGGGUUAAGUCCCGCAACGAGCGCAACCCUUGAUCUUNANUUGCCAGCANUUNAGUUGGGCCACUCUAAGGUGANUGC